GUACUCGAGCGGCGAACAGGGUGAGUAACACGUGAGCAACCUGCCCCAAGCUUUGGGAUAACCCCGGGAAACCGGGGCUAAUACCGAAUAUUACCUGGCCUCGCAUGAGGCUGGGUGGAAAGUUUUUCGGCUUGGGAUGGGCUCGCGGCCUAUCAGCUUGUUGGUGGGGUGAUGGCCUACCAAGGCGACGACGGGUAGCCGGCCUGAGAGGGCGACCGGCCACACUGGGACUGAGACACGGCCCAGACUCCUACGGGAGGCAGCAGUGGGGAAUAUUGCACAAUGGGCGGAAGCCUGAUGCAGCGACGCCGCGUGAGGGAUGACGGCCUUCGGGUUGUAAACCUCUUUCAGCAGGGACGAAGCGAGAGUGACGGUACCUGCAGAAGAAGCGCCGGCCAACUACGUGCCAGCAGCCGCGGUAAGACGUAGGGCGCGAGCGUUGUCCGGAUUUAUUGGGCGUAAAGAGCUCGUAGGCGGCUUGUCGCGUCGACCGUGAAAACUUGGGGCUCAACCCCAAGCCUGCGGUCGAUACGGGCAGGCUAGAGUUCGGUAGGGGAGACUGGAAUUCCUGGUGUAGCGGUGAAAUGCGCAGAUAUCAGGAGGAACACCGGUGGCGAAGGCGGGUCUCUGGGCCGAUACUGACGCUGAGGAGCGAAAGCGUGGGGAGCGAACAGGAUUAGAUACCCUGGUAGUCCACGCUGUAAACGUUGGGCGCUAGGUGU
rnacentral:rRNA from 1 species